GUAAGGAAUAUUGGGCAAUGGGCGCAAGCCUGACCCAGCCAUCCCGCGUGCAGGAUGACGGCCCUAUGGGUUGUAAACUGCUUUUGUUUGAGAAGAACUAAGGACAUUUAUGUGCUUUUGACGGUAUCUUACGAAUAAGCACCGGCUAACUCCGUGCCAGCAGCCGCGGUAAUACGGAGGGUGCAAGCGUUAUCCGGAAUCACUGGGUUUAAAGGGUGCGUAGGCGGCAAAAUAAGUCAGAGGUGAAAUCUUGCGGCUCAACCGUAAAAUUGCCUUUGAUACUGUUAUGCUUGAAUCAGGUUGAGGUAGGCAGAAUGUGGCAUGUAGCGGUGAAAUGCAUAGAUAUGCCAUAGAAUACCAAUUGCGAAGGCAGCCUGCUGGACCUGUAUUGACGCUGAGGCACGAAAGCGUGGGGAUCAAACAGGAUUAGAAACCCUAGUAGUCC
rnacentral:rRNA from 1 species